UUUUUUGAAUGAAUGAAAAAAAUAAAAAAAACAUGGAUGAAUGUACAUGAACAUGAAUGGCAUAAAGUGAAUAAAAGGCAAAAGCAUAGUUUGAAAUGUUUCAGCUGGGAUUCGAUCCGAGGGAGAAUUCAAAACUAGCGCGCGCUCACUUAAGUGGAUGUACACGUGGUCCAAUGCAUGAGCGAUAAACACGGAAACGCAUGCAGAACAAGGCUAUGAAGAUCAAACAUGAAUUCUGG
rnacentral:lncRNA from 1 species